UACGAAGGGGGCUAGCGUUGUUCGGAAUUACUGGGCGUAAAGGGCGCGUAGGCGGUCCUGAUCGUCGGAUGUGAAAGGCCUGGGCUCAACCUGGGAACUGCAUCCGAUACGGCGGGACUGGAGUGUGGGAGAGGUUGGUGGAAUUCCCAGUGUAGAGGUGAAAUUCGUAGAUAUUGGGAAGAACACCGGUGGCGAAGGCGGCUCUCUGGGCCUUACCUGACGCUGAGGAGCGAAAGCGUGGGUAGCGAACAGG
rnacentral:rRNA from 1 species